UUCUUAUCAAGAGAGGCGGAGGGAAAAGGCCCGAUGAAGCCCGGCAACCGUUCCUUAACAGUUCGGAAAUUCAGAGCUGUAGGAAAUCAGGUGCCAAUUCCUCCAGAACCGAAACAAGGUUCUGGCAGAUGAGAG
rnacentral:ncRNA from 2 species